rnacentral:rRNA from 1 species
UACAGAGGUCUCAAGCGUUGUUCGGAUUCAUUGGGCGUAAAGGGUGCGUAGGCGGCGCGGUAAGUCGGGUGUGAAAUCUCGGGGCUUAACUCCGAAACUGCAUUCGAUACUGCCGUGCUUGAGGACUGGAGAGGAGACUGAAUUUACGGUGUAGCGGUGAAAUGCGUAGAUAUCGUAAGGAAGACCAGUGGCGAAGGCGGGUCUCUGGACAGUUCCUGACGCUGAGAAGCGAAAGCAUGGGGAGCGAACAGG